CCUCCCACCUGGGCCCUUGCACCAGCCUUCUCCCUGGUACCCUGGCCCCCAGAACUCCUCCCACCCUGGCCCGAUACUCAUCUCACAGCUGCCUCACAUGCACAUCCCCUGUGACCCUCAGGACCAAGUCCCCAAGUUCCUCCGCCUGGGAUCUGAGGACCUUCUUGAGGUGGCCCAGCCACAUGUGGCAUCACCCAGCUCCGACCCAACUGAGGGACCUACUCCUAGGACAGCACUCCAGCCUACAAUCCACACCCACAAAGGAAAGGCACCAUGAGUUACUAGAAAGAAGUGAUGAAGGUAACGUCCUGGCAGUCCAGUGCUUAGGACUCCUGGCUUUCACUGCCAAGGGCGCAGGUUCCAUCCCUGGUUGGGAACUAAUACUAAGAUCCGCCAAGGCGCUACGAAGACUCCGCGAGUUGUUCUGCUCGGUCAAAGGGAAAAAAGAAAAGUUAUGCCACACUGUGUGCUACCUUCAUAUUAGGCAGAUUCUUUGCCAUCUGAGCCAAGGAGACCAGAAAUCGCCCUGGGAGUUGAAUGCAUCUUUCAUGAUACUGUCUCCUGCUUCCCCUGCCACCCACGGACUCGCAGCACACCCGAAGGCUGAAGAUCAUUCAGUGUUAGAAAGACUCAGCAUAGAAAAGGAUGCUGCCUUGUCCUUCAGAGAUGCCAGGGCCUAGCUCUGCAACUGACAGCCCUCGAGCUGGAUGCUGGCGGCCUGGGGCAGGAUUCCCAGGACGUGGCCCCCUAAAGGCAUGCCUGUUGUGCCCUUCCCUCCCUAUGCAUCCACCAUGGGCUUCCCUGAUGGCU
ensembl:lncRNA